rnacentral:rRNA from 1 species
GGGUCAGUAGGUUGGUCGUGCCACCGGUACGUACUGGUCUCACUGAUUCCUCCUUCCUGAAGAACCGUAAUGCCAUUAAUUUGGUGUUGCGGGGAAACAGGACUGUUACUUUGAAAAAAUUAGAGUGUUUAAAGCAAGCUAACGCUUGAAUACAUUAGCAUGGAAUAAUGAAAUAGGACGAUCGAUCCUAUUUUGUUAGUUUCUAGGAUUGACGUA